rnacentral:rRNA from 1 species
GAUGAACGCUGGCGGCGUGCCUAACACAUGCAAGUCGAACGGAGUCCAGCCUUUAAGACCUUCGGGUCAAAGAGGGGAAGACUGAGUGGCGGACGGGUGAGUAACACGUGGGCAACCUGGCUCAUAGAGGGGGAUAACAGAGAGAAAUUUCUGCUAAUACCGCAUAAGCACACACUGCCGCAUGGCAGAGGGUGAAAAGAGAAUCGCUAUGAGAUGGACCCGCGUCUGAUUAGCCAGUUGGCAGGGUAAGAGCCUACCAAAGCGACGAUCAGUAGCCGAUCUGAGAGGAUGAACGGCCACAUUGGGACUGAGACACGGCCCAGACUCCUACGGGAGGCAGCAGUGGGGGAUAUUGCACAAUGGGGGGAACCCUGAUGCAGCGACGCCGCGUGAGUGAAGAAGUAUUUCGGUAUGUAAAGCUCUAUCAGCAGGGAAGAUAAUGACAGUACCUGAAUAAGAAGCCCCGGCUAACUACGUG